rnacentral:rRNA from 1 species
CGCGGCCUAUCAGCUUGUUGGUGGGGUAAUGGCCCACCAAGGCGACGACGGGUAGCCGGCCUGAGAGGGCGACCGGCCACACUGGGACUGAGACACGGCCCAGACUCCUACGGGAGGCAGCAGUGGGGAAUAUUGCGCAAUGGGCGGAAGCCUGACGCAGCGACGCCGCGUGAGGGAUGAAGGCCUUCGGGUCGUAAACCCCUUUCAGCAGGGAAGAAGCGAAAGUGACGGUACCUGCAGAAGAAGCACCGGCUAACUACGUGCCAGCAGCCGCGGUAAUACGUAGGGUGCAAGCGUUGUCCGGAAUUAUUGGGCGUAAAGAGCUCGUAGGCGGUCUGUCGCGUCUGCUGUGAAAACUCAGGGCUUAACCCUGAGCUUGCAGUGGGUACGGGCAGACUAGAGUGCGGUAGGGGAGACUGGAAUUCCUGGUGUAGCGGUGAAAUGCGCAGAUAUCAGGAGGAACACCGGUGGCGAAGGCGGGUCUCUGGGCCGUAACUGACGCUGAGGAGCGAAAGCAUGGGGAGCGAACAGGAUUAGAUACCCUGGUAGUCCAUGCCGUAAACGUUGGGCGCUAGGUGUGGGGACCUUUCCAUGGUUUCCGUGCCGCAGCUAACGCAUUAAGCGCCCCGCC